rnacentral:rRNA from 1 species
UGCAGUCGAACGAGAAAGUGGAGCAAUCCAUGAGUACAGUGGCGUACGGGUGAGUAACACGUGGGUAAUCUGCCUCUUUGUGUGGAAUAACCCUGGGAAACCGGGGCUAAUACCGCAUAAGCUCGAGAGAGGAAAGCAGCAAUGCGCUGAGAGAGGAGCCCGCGGCCGAUUAGCUAGUUGGUAGGGUAAAAGCCUACCAAGGCAAAGAUCGGUAGCCGGCCUGAGAGGGCACACGGCCACACUGGCACUGAAACACGGGCCAGACUCCUACGGGAGGCAGCAGUGGGGAAUCUUGCACAAUGGGGGAAACCCUGAUGCAGCGACGCCGCGUGAGCGAUGAUGCCCCUCGGGGUGUAAAGCUCUUUCGGCAGGGAAGAUGAUGACGGUACCUGCAGAAGCAGCUGCGGCUAACUACGUGCCAGCAGCCGCGGUAAUACGUAGGCAGCAAGCGUUGUUCGGAGUUACUGGGCGUAAAGGGUGUGUAGGCGGUUCUCUAAGUUUGGUGUGAAAUCUCCCGGCUCAACUGGGAGGGUGCGCCGAAUACUGAAGGACUCGAGUGCGGGAGAGGAGAGUGGAAUUCCUGGUGUAGCGGUGAAAUGCGUAGAUAUCAGGAGGAACACCGGUGGUGUAGACGGCUCUCUGGACCGUAACUGACGCUGAGACACGAAAGCGUGGGUAGCAAACAGGAUUAGAUACCCUGGUAGUCCACGCCCUAAACGAUGCAUAUUUGGUGUGGGCAGUUCAGUCUGUCCGUGCCGGAGCUAACGCGUUAAAUAUGCCGCCUGGGGAGUACAGUCGCCAGGCUGAAACUCAAAGGAAUUGACGGGGGCCCGCACAAGCGGUGGAGCAUGUGGUUCAAUUCGACGCAACGCGAAAACUUACCUGGGCUCGAACGGCUGGUACCGGCGGUGGAAACAUCGCUACCCCGCAAGGGGGUCCAGUC